rnacentral:rRNA from 1 species
UACGGAGGGUGCGAGCGUUAAUCGGAAUUACUGGGCGUAAAGCGCAUGCAGGCGGCCUGUUAAGUCAGAUGUGAAAGCCCGGGGCUUAACCUCGGAAUUGCAUUUGAAACUGGCAGGCUAGAGUCUUGUAGAGGGGGUAGAAUUUCAGGUGUAGCGGUGAAAUGCGUAGAGAUCUGAAGGAAUACCAGUGGCGAAGGCGGCCCCCUGGACAAAGACUGACGCUCAGAUGCGAAAGCGUGGGGAGCAAACAGG